rnacentral:lncRNA from 1 species
CAUAAAAUUAUAAAUCAUUCAAUCCUAAAAAUAGAGUGCACAUCAGAGACUCUUACAACUACUACCACUACACCGACAUAGCUGUAUAUUCAACUAACUAUUACUGCACUAGCUACCUCUUGUCUUUUCAAUUGAACCAUUCCCAUCUGUUUUGAACGAUCAAACGAAGACCCUCAUACAUGUAACAUCAGAGACCUAUCGUCUUCUUCCUAUCGUCAAUUGAACCAUUCCCAGAGUUAAGCAUGUAACAUCAGAGACCUAUCGUCUUCUUCCUAUCGUCAAUUGAACCAUUCCCAGAGUUAAGCAUGUAACAUCAGAGACCUAUCGUCUUCUUCCUUUUACCUAAGGAUUGAAAUCUCAAUAACCAAACCCAUUUCUACUCAAUACCCCUCUCCUUAACUUGUUCAAACUGAAACCACCGAAAACCAUUCUUUUCGUUCCUAAUCUGUUCCUGGGAUUCUCUAUUAAGGAUACUAUCCGUCUCAAUCGCCUCAACAUCUUUCUCUGCUCCCCAUUGAUUUCCAAAUCCGUCUCCGACGAGGACCUACUGAAGAUCUGGAAAGGGCUUUUCUACAGUGUCUGGCACACUGAUAAGCUUCCGGUUCAAGUUGAACUCAUUGACACCCUAUUGAUUAUCGAACUGUAAACUAUUGCAGUUAUUACAUGUUUGUAAUUAAAGUUUUAAUAUUUGAUUGACAACUGAUUUUCUUGAUUGACAUUUGAUGUAAGUAAAAUAAUAAAUUACACUUUAAUAAAGUGUAUGGAUAGUUUUUGAA